rnacentral:misc_RNA from 1 species
UUCUUUGAAAUGUUAACACUUUGGGGCAGUGAAUAAAAGGUAGUUCGAUGUUGAAAACGAUAGUUGUGAAAUUUAUAAAAAGAGGGCGGGAAGAUCGACUUGUGUUGUAUUCUUUAGUCCAUCUAAUAGCAAUAUCGUUUCUGACGAUUCGACAGCGAAGCAAGACUUAUUCCGACUUCGCCGGAGCCGCAAAAUAGUUGUCAAAAUGGCGGGCGAAGGUGCUGCAAAUGUGAAUCCAAAUUGUGAGGUCGUUCGCGGACAAACGUUCGAAGUUGGCCCGCGAUAUACGAAUUUAUCGUACAUGGGCGAGGGUGCUUACGGGAUGGUCGUAUCUGCUUAUGAUAAUGUAACAAAGACAAAGGUAGCUAUUAAAAAAAUUUCACCUUUUGAACAUCAGACUUAUAGCCAGAGAACUUUAAGAGAAAUAAAAAUUUUGACUAGGUUUAAGCAUGAAAAUAUAAUAGAUAUAAGGGAUAUAUUAAGGGCACCUACUAUAGAACAAAUGAAAGAUGUAUAUAUUGUUCAAUGUUUAAUGGAAACUGAUCUCUAUAAACUUCUGAAAACACAGGCUAUUAGUAAUGAUCACAUAUGCUAUUUUCUUUACCAAAUAUUGAGAGGAUUAAAGUACAUUCAUUCCGCAAAUGUAUUGCACAGAGACUUGAAACCAAGCAACUUGCUAUUGAAUACCACGUGUGACCUUAAAAUCUGUGAUUUUGGUUUAGCUAGAGUUGCUGAUCCAGAGCAUAAUCAUGCUGGUUUUCUUACCGAAUAUGUAGCUACAAGGUGGUAUAGAGCUCCAGAAAUAAUGCUCAAUUCAAAGGGUUAUACUAAGUCUAUAGACAUUUGGUCAGUUGGUUGUAUUCUUGCAGAAAUGCUUUCAAGACGAGCAAUAUUUCCAGGCAAGCAUUACUUAGACCAACUGAACCAUAUAUUAGGAGUCCUUGGAUCACCAUCUCCUGAAGAUCUUGAGUGCAUUAUAAAUGAAAAAGCGCGAAAUUACCUUCAAUCUUUACCAUACAAACCAAAGGUUCCAUGGACAAGUCUUUUCCCAAAUGCCGAUCCGCGAGCUUUAGACCUUUUAGAUAAAAUGCUAACUUUUAAUCCUAACAAACGAAUUGUCGUGGAAGAUGCACUCGCGCAUCCUUACUUAGAGCAAUAUUACGAUCCAGCUGAUGAACCUGUCGCAGAAGAGCCAUUCAAGUUUGAUAUGGAGCUAGACAAUCUUCCAAAAGAAGUUUUGAAACAGUAUAUCUUUGAAGAAACUCUUCUAUUCCAGAAGAAUCAUCAAGAAAACGCUAUGUAGUCUACUGCUGCAGUUAGCGUGCAGGGUGACGAAAAAGGAGGCGAAGGUGCGGCGUCAAAGUAACAGAAGUGUACUUCUUUCACAGUUGUCUACGAUCGAAGCAAGAAAAAUAAAACGAAACCAAAAACAUUCUACGAGGACAUUAUAAUCGAAGAAAAUUAGUACCAGCGACGACCAUGGCGAGAAACGGGCGAAGCAGGAGGCGGUGAAUGAGUAGCUGCGUACCUCGCGGAAAUUCGUUUUUGCAUCAAUCGGACUUAGCUAGCAGAAGAAAAAGAUGGAGAGAGAAUGAGAUGAAGAGACAGCAAGAAGGAGAAAGAAUGAGAAGAGAGUGCGUGCGAAUGAGAGAGGCGUAAAACGUUUAAUUCGUAAUUAAUUGCACUCGAUGCAAUUUCCAGUUCUUCUAAGCCAUUUAAUUGCGCCUUGUUUUACGAGCUACAGGUAUUAUUACACUGAUACUGCCAUUCUUGUGCGAUAGAACGCAUGGUGUCUGUUUGAAUGCGGUGUCUGUUUGUAUUGUUUAUUUUAUAUAUAUAUAUAUAUAUGCAUACAUAUAUAUAUUUCUGAUCUUUUUACACGCUUUAAUAUACCACAUUUUUGUUUCUUUUUCCUUUUGCGUUAAGCAUCUCGAAGAAUUCCUUACUUGUUCAUAAAAUUAGUGUAUCGUGUCGUUCUUUCCUCCUACGUACAUGUAAAAGCAGCACUUCCUUUUCAUAAAGUCCACUUGUCUCUGGACACGAUUUCUGGGAUUCAAACACUCACCAUGUGAGUUAAACAUACGAUAUAAAAUAAUGUUCUUGUUUCGAUUCGUAUGCUUUCGCUCUAAAUGUACAUGCGUAUACUCGAACGAUUCUUUUUUGAUAUUCAAUAUAUAGCUCUAGCUUGGAGAAAUGUGGCCGUGACAAAUGGAAAGUGAUUUGAUCCGUGUGUGUAUACGUGAACAGUAUCAUCGAUGGUAAGAAACAAGAACCUUGUCCGACUGUGAACGCGACAGAAGUCGAAUGAUUAUUAAAGCACAAGUAACAUACGAACGAUUGAUUUAAUAUUGCUUGUUACCCAUAUACGAGAAGCUUUAACAGAAGUAAAAUUAUUAUUUUCGAUGAAACGAUGUUACUUUCAACAAAAUAAGGACAUGCUUGUUGAGACAGAAAAAUAGAAGAAACAAAUCAUCCUUAUUUUGGAUAAGACCAAUCACACGUGUACAAAUGAAACAUUAGGAUUUUGUUAAUAAUAAAAAGAAAGUAAGGACGACAUGAGAGAGAGAGUGAGAGAUUGAGUGAUUAGCAAGAAGAAGAAGGAAUCAGAAUGAAACGCUUUGCCUCCCUCGAAUAAUCAGAUCUCACGUUCUUCGAUGCAUCCAAUAAAAUGAUUCUUCAUUGAUAA